GUCUCCAGCUCUAUCAUCGAGCUUCUUCAUGAGCAGGUCUAGCUUUGCAGACAGCAUGUCUACCUCCUUGAGCUGAUGCAUACCUCCACCUCUCUUACGUGUCUAGGUCCUCUCUUCAUUCCAGCUUUGAUUGGACGCCAUCUUCUCCACGAGAGCUGUGGCGUGUGAUAUGGUAAGUGAUAAGAAUGCUCCUCCAGCUGCAGCAUCCAUGGUC
rnacentral:lncRNA from 1 species